GACGAACGCUGGCGGCGUGCUUAACACAUGCAAGUCGAACGGAAAGGCCCUGCUUUUGUGGGGUGCUCGAGUGGCGAACGGGUGAGUAACACGUGAGUAACCUGCCCUUGACUUUGGGAUAACUUCAGGAAACUGGGGCUAAUACCGGAUAGGAGCUCCUGCUGCAUGGUGGGGGUUGGAAGUUUCGGCGGUUGGGGAUGGACUCGCGGCUUAUCAGCUUGUUGGUGGGGUAGUGGCUUACCAAGGCUUUGACGGGUAGCCGGCCUGAGAGGGUGACCGGCCACAUUGGGACUGAGAUACGGCCCAGACUCCUACGGGAGGCAGCAGUGGGGAAUAUUGCACAAUGGGCGGAAGCCUGAUGCAGCAACGCCGCGUGCGGGAUGACGGCCUUCGGGUUGUAAACCGCUUUCGCCUGUGACGAAGCGUGAGUGACGGUAAUGGGUAAAGAAGCACCGGCUAACUACGUG
rnacentral:rRNA from 1 species